GCGAUCAUACCAGCACUAAUGCACCGGAUCCCAUCAGAACUCCGAAGUUAAGCGUGCUUGGGCGAUAGCAGUACUAGGAUGGGUGACCCCCUGUUGCACCUAUUU
rnacentral:rRNA from 1 species